rnacentral:lncRNA from 1 species
GUAUGUGAUCAGUUCAGGGUAUGUAUAUAUGUUAAUUUAUGGAUGUAGCAUUUUGGGUUGAAAAGUAUCCAAUGAAGAGUAUUGAGGUAUUUCCUAUUUAUAAGUAUGUGGUUAAUAUCAGGUAGCGUUCGCAGCUAGUGGCAUGUGCGAUCACGUCCCUCUUAAUUAGCGUUAUUAUGUGAUUUAUGGUUAGGGGGUGUGACAACUGGUCUCAGAGCAGUGGUUCAAGCCAAAGUAGAUCACUGAGGGCUAUGUGGUGGAGUUGAUGUCACCACCCCCCCCCCCAGGAUCACAGUGAACCAUAGAGAUGUGUCGGAUUUGAUAGGUUGUUAAAAGCUGGUGUAUAUUAUAAUGGUGCAGUGCUAAAAAAUCUAAAUUGAUGACACGAAGAAAGAAUGGCGAAUGAGGAAUCAUCAGUUUAUGCUAGAGGGGUGGAGCAGGAGGGACAUGAACCCCACCCCUCUCACUGCAAAGCAACAUCAGCCUAAGCCAUAGAUAGAUUGCCACUUUGAUGGCAUAGGAAAUAUAGUUACAGAUGGCACGGCCGGUAUGGAAGUACCACCCUGAAUGAAAAUUAUGAAGUUGAAUCCGGCAGAUUGGUGGGGAAAAGGACAUUUAGUGGCUGAAGAAUGGUUAAAAAAUUAAAUGCAAAUUUAAAGUGAUGGAGCUGACCGACGACAGAAGUUACACUUGGGCCACCUCAGUUAUGUUAAGGGGAGAGGCCAGAAAUUGGUGGAAGCGAUGUAGAAGAUGUAAAUACCCAACCAAAGGAGUGCCAAUUUCAUGGCAAUAAUUUUGUAAAUUUUGCAUGAUCAGUACUCCCUCGCAUCUAUCGCAAAUGCAAAAGAAUAUAGUUUUGUCGUUUGAAGAAAGGGACGAUGUCCAUGAGGCGAAUAUGAAAGAAACGUUUAUAGUCUCUGUCCUCGAUUUGCGCCUGAGAUGGUGCAUGCUGAAGAUAUGAAGUGCAGACGAUUUGAGCAGGGCCUGGACUGGUAGAUCCGGAGUCCGUGUGUCUAUGUUUGAGAAUUAAUAUAUAUUUAGAGUUGGUGAACAAAGCAAAAAUUACGAGCUGGAUAUGAUGGAAUUUCAGAAUAAGGACGAGAUAACAAAGAGGAGAAUUGGAUUCGGGGGCUGGACGUCAUACAAAGGUCUUCAUAAUGCAACAACAACAAGUAUAUCCUUAGGCCACAACUUAUGUGGCUUUCCGAUUUCAAUACCGGUUUUUCCCUUCGUUUCCUCCUUUUUCACUCUCUUGUCCCCCCGCCCUUUCCGUUUUCCGGUUUCCUCUCAUCCCCUUAACAUAAUAUGGCCAAGAUAACUCUUUUUCUAUUCGUCGUCCACCUCCCAUCACUUCAAAUAUUACAUCUAAUUUCUUUACUUUACCAUUUUCACAAGCACUACAGGAUUAGUUGCCCCCACAAAUUCUGGCGGAUUCACUUCAUAAUUGUUCAUAGUAGGGUGGUACUUCUUAAGCCGCUUUUGGCCAUCAAGUUAGAUUUAGCACAUGCAUACAUAAAUAUAACACAAGCCUAACAACCUAUCGCACUCCGACACACCGACACAUCCUAUGGUUCACUGUGAUCCAGACAUCAACUCCACCACAUAGCCUCAAUGAUAUACUUUGGCUUUGAACCACUGCUCGGAUUUACCCCAAAAGUUUUCACCCCCCCAACCUAAAUCAACAUAAUCAAGCUACUAGGCUGUGAUGUGAUCGCACCAGGCCACUAUGCCUGCGAACGACACCUGUUGCACCACAUACUCAAUAAUAAGAAUCCUCAAAUACUCAUUCAUUGAUAAUUUAAAAUCAAAAUGCCACAUCCAUAAAUUAACAUAUAUACAUACCCUGACUGAAACAUACACAACUUUCUGUAUAAAAACAUAAACAGGUAACAAUGACAUAAACUAACACGCUGUACAAAAGCAAGAACUGGUCCCAAGUUCUGCCAACAUCAAUCAAACCACACUAGGAAGCCUCUACCAUCUAGGAUCAUGACCACAGUAAACCAAUAUCUAAUUGUAAUCACUAAUACCUGUCAAAAAGAGUCUGUAUGUGGACUAAUAUCAGCAUGCUCAAAUAGAUAAUCGAACUCAUAAGAAUGAUACAAAUAGCCAUUCAUUAUAGAAAUCAAGCCAUAAAGAAUGUCCUAUGCAAUAAUUCAACCCACAUGGGCGCGCAAGUUUCGAUAGAAUUUUAGAUAGAUGAAACAAUACAAGAAGAGGAGAUUGUAUUUUGGGGGCGAGAUCGUCAAGACAAAGGUCUUCAGAUGUUACAACAACAGAGAAGCGAGUCGAGCCCAGACUGAGUGCCGAGAAGUGCAAAGACUGGUAUUUCUAGAGGUGGGGGAAAUGUUAGGGGAAGAAGGUCGUGAGACCACCACUAGACCUAAUACUGUCACGAUCUUGUACUACAGGAGGAAUUAUUUGUUAUCGGUGCUGCGUUGAAGGCCAUAUAGUCCGUGAUUUUCCCACUGCCAUGGGCGGACAAAUGUUAAUCAGUGCA